AAGUCGUAACAAGGUCUCCGUAGGUGAACCUGCGGAGGGAUCAUUCACAUGAUUACUUUUAUUCAAACAAACUGUGAACUUUAUAUACUAUUCGUGUUUAUUGUCAGUUUAACUUUCAUUAAACAUUGUCAUUCGUUGAACAUAAGAUAGUUGGCUUGAAUUUUAUUUAUUCUUUCUCAGCUUUGAUUUGAUUGAAAAUUCAACACUUUCUCUCAAUCAACCAUAAACAUAGAAACAACUCUAUGCCCUGGAUAUCUUGGUUCUC
rnacentral:misc_RNA from 1 species